rnacentral:rRNA from 1 species
UUAAGCUAAUAAGAGCGCAGGGUGGAUGCCUUGGCACUAAGAGCCGAAGAAAGACGUGAUAAGCUGCGAAAAGCUGCGGGGAGGAGCAAAUGUCCAUUGAUCCGCAGAUGUCUGAAUGGGGAAACCCGUCUGGAAGAACUCCAGUCACUGCAUGCUGAAUACAUAGGCAUGCAGGGGGAACCCGGUGAACUGAAACAUCUAAGUAGCCGGAGGAAAAGAAAGAAAAAUCGAUUUCCAAAGUAGCGGCGAGCGAAAUGGAAGGAGCCCAAACCGGGAUGCGUGCAUUCCGGGGUUAUGGACCGCAAGAAGUGACCCGUAAGAUAGAAGAAUGGCAUUGGGAAAGCCAGCCACAGAGGGUGAAAGCCCCGUAUUCGAAAUCAGAAGGGAGCGAGCGGAAUCCGAAGUACUACGAGACACGUGGAACCUUGUAGGAAAUCGGGGGGACCACCCCCCAAGGCUAAAUACUCCUUAGUGACCGAUAGCGCAUAGUACUGUGAAGGAACGGUGAAAAGAACCCCGGGAGGGGAGUGAAAGAGAACCUGAAACCCUGUGUUUACAAGCUGUGGAAGAGCUUUACAUGCUCAACCGCGUACUUUUUGUAGAACGGUCCGGCGAGUUACUCUUACUGGCAAGGUUAAGCACCAAAGGUGUGGAGCCGAAGGGAAACCAAGUCUUAACAGGGCGAGUUAGUCAGUGUGAGUAGACCCGAAACCGGGUGACCUACCCAUGUCCAGGAUGAAGUUGCCGUAAAAGGCAAUGGAGGUCCGAACACACAUCCGUUGAAAAGGGUGGUGAUGAGGUGUGGAUAGCGGAGAAAUUCCAAUCGAACCCGGAGAUAGCUGGUUCUCCUCGAAAUAGCUUUAGGGCUAGCCUCAAUUUAGUCUUGCGGAGGUAGAGCACUGAAUAUCCUAGGGGGCGUCAAAGCUUACCGAAGAUUAUCAAACUCCGAAUGCCGUAAAGAUGAUGUAUGGGAGUCAGACUGCACGAGAUAAGUUGGGUAGUCAAAAGGGAAAGAGCCCAGACCUACAGCUAAGGUCCCAAAGUGCGUGUUAAGUGGAAAAGGAUGUGGGAUUUCGAAGACAACUAGGAUGUUGGCUCAGAAGCAGCCAUACAUUCAAAGAGUGCGUAAUAGCUCACUAGUCGAGAGGUCCUGCGCCGAAAAUGUCCGGGGCUAAAACACGACACCGAAGCUUAGGACUCCAUUUAGGAGUGGUAGAGGAGCAUUGUUAGCGCAGCGAAGCUGUACCGAUAAGGAGCAGUGGAGUGCUAAGAAGAGAGAAUGCCGGAAUGAGUAGCGAGAGGAAGGUGAGAAUCCUUCCGGCCGAAUAUCCAAGGUUUCCAGAGUAAAGCUGAUCUGCUCUGGGUAAGUCGGGGCCUAAGGCGAGGUCGAAAGACGUAGUCGAUGGAUAACAGGUGGAGAUUCCUGUACUAUGUGUACCCAGAAAUGUGGGGACGCAUGUGGAGAGCACGAGCCGGGAAAGAGAAGACCGGUACAAGCGGGGUAGGAGUAAGGACAGCAAAUCUUCCUUACAAUCCGAAGACGUAAUGUGGACCGAACCAAAGUAGGGAAGCGUGUGAGCCAUGUGCCAAGAAAAGCCGCUAUUGUGAUACACAUACCCGUACCGUAAACCGACACAGGUGGAUGAGGAGAGAAUCCUAAGGCCGACGGAAGAAGCAUUGUUAAGGAACUCGGCAAAAUGACCCCGUAACUUCGGGAGAAGGGGUGCCCUGUGAAAGCAGGGCCGCAGAGAAUAGGCUCAAGCAACUGUUUAGCAAAAACACAGGUCUAUGCGAAACCGAAAGGUGAGGUAUAUGGGCUGACGCCUGCCCGGUGCUGGAAGGUUAAGAGGAGAAGUCAGGCAACGAAGCUUCGAAUUUAAGCCCCAGUAAACGGCGGCCGUAACUAUAACGGUCCUAAGGUAGCGAAAUUCCUUGUCGGGUAAGUUCCG